rnacentral:sRNA from 1 species
UUCACAGUUUCGCCCCGAUCGAGCCCAACGCCGGCCGCAUCGAACGGUAGAUUUGUUUUCGUUGCCUCGAAGGCCCGGCGGCGUUCCGUUCCGGAUUGUCAGCCCCCCAGCCCCCGGACGAGCGUCGUCGGGCCAAUCGAUCAGAAUCCCUCCAAUGGCCGGCUCAGCCGGCCUUCUU